UACAGAGGGGGCAAGCGUUGUUCGGAAUUACUGGGCGUAAAGGGUUCGUAGGUGGCCACCUAAGUCAGACGUGAAAUCCCUCAGCUUAACUGGGGAACUGCGUCUGAUACUGGGUGGCUUGAGUGCAGGAGAGGAAUGCGGAAUUCCAGGUGUAGCGGUGAAAUGCGUAGAUAUCUGGAGGAACACCGGUGGCGAAGGCGGCAUUCUGGACUGUAACUGACACUGAGGAACGAAAGCCAGGGGAGCAAACGGG
rnacentral:rRNA from 1 species